rnacentral:rRNA from 1 species
GAUUAGCUAGUUGGUGAGGUAAAGGCUCACCAAGGCGACGAUCUGUAGCGGGUCUGAGAGGAUGAUCCGCCACACUGGAACUGAGACACGGUCCAGACUCCUACGGGAGGCAGCAGUGGGGAAUUUUGGACAAUGGGGGCAACCCUGAUCCAGCCAUGCCGCGUGAGUGAAGAAGGCCUUCGGGUUGUAAAGCUCUUUCGGCCGGGAAGAAAACGCAUUGNUUAAUACCCGGUGUGGAUGACGGUACCNGAAUAAGAAGCACCGGCUAACUACGUGCCAGCAGCCGCGGUAAUACGUAGGGUGCGAGCGUUAAUCGGAAUUACUGGGCGUAAAGCGUGCGCAGGCGGUUUUGUAAGUCAG